CGAUGAUGACACCUCAUGGACAAGUGGGUUGUUUAUUGUCACGCGGGAUUUUAUUUUAUAAUUUAAUUUGAAAUAUACUUAAAAAUGACUGAUUGAGAUUGUGUGGCAAGGUAUGAUUUUAAAUGAUAAGAGUUCAAUUGAACUUAAUGUUGAUGUUUAUUUAGAAAUCGGAGAGAUGGAGUGAAUAGUUACAGCUCUCGGGGAGAAGUGAAGUCACAAAGUCUCAACUCUGACUGCUCAGCUUCACGUUCCCCCACUAUGGUUACACGUAUACACCUAUACUAUUGCUAGAACUACCCUUAUACAUAGUGCGUAAUAUACUAUCUUACAUGUACUUAUAUAAACUUAUUUAUAUAUAACACUUAUUAUUUGCGGCUGCGGCCGGCUUACAUAUUCAUGUACUUGUAUUUACCUGGCUUUAAAUUCAGCACAACGACCUAGGGAAACCGCAGAAAACCUGGUCGAGGCUUUUAAGGUAUUAUCUGCUCAAUAAAUUAUAUCAGAUGCGGAA